UCGCGUCUGAGCACUUUUUCAUGCGGUUUUUGUCUCCUUGUCUCGAAAUCAUGGCCUUCAAACGUGAUUAUUUCGAGAAGCCAUUUAAUUUCAAAAGGUACUGCACAGCCAAGGAAUGUAACUUCCGCCUCGCUAUUUGUUAAGACACAACAUUGAGGUUUGCCAGCCGUCAAACCUUCUGACCUUGUGCAAAAUUCUAUUUAAAAACACUUUCCCAAUAGGACCCUGCAAAAGGGUUUCAGCUUGCAGCCAAACGCAAGCCUGGAGUCAAGUAAGUUCAUCGUUUUUGGUAGAUAGCCGGCCGUUUUGAGAAACCUUUGACGCACGUAUACUUCAGCAUUACAACUGCCCGUCACAACGGGACUUCUUCCUCGGAAAUAAAUACAUCGAGACUCCAUAGUUGAAAACUGAAGAAGUUGAGUUCGGCCUGUGGACUUUUCCUGUUACCAAGGAAAGGAAUGUAUGAACAAAUGUCAUAAAGUAAGAGCUGGCUUGUAGCAGUCACGGAAGGUAUUGUGCUUUGGGCUUACAAAAUGCUACCUUUUUUGGUUGAAAGUUUUGCUAUCUUUUGUUGUACAACCUAUUUUGGAAAAGUUUCAGAAUAUUUUGAGAGGUACAGCUUAUCGUCAACUUGAAAAACAGAGCUCAGCUCCAGCGCUUACUAGUGCUUUGAAAUAAGUGCUGGUGAAUGCCUUGCCAAGGCCCGGCAGGCUUCGAAAGAAACAAACGACAUUAUUCCCAACUAUUUGUAGCGUGAUCAGCGACUGGAUCAUCUAGUUGACCAUUUUGGAAACAAGGCAGGGGAUAGGCUUAUUUUCGUAGCGUAUACCAUUAGUCUCGAACUGAUCUCAUGAAGAGUAGACCUACUAAUUUCUUUGGUAAUUAGCUUUU